UACGAAGGGGGCUAGCGUUGCUCGGAAUCACUGGGCGUAAAGCGCACGUAGGCGGCCUCUUAAGUCAGGGGUGAAAUCCUGGAGCUCAACUCCAGAACUGCCUUUGAUACUGAGGAGCUUGAGUCCGGGAGAGGUGAGUGGAACUGCGAGUGUAGAGGUGAAAUUCGUAGAUAUUCGCAAGAACACCAGUGGCGAAGGCGGCUCACUGGCCCGGUACUGACGCUGAGGUGCGAAAGCGUGGGGAGCAAACAGGG
rnacentral:rRNA from 1 species